rfam:Toxoplasma gondii VEG unplaced genomic scaffold scaffold00008, whole genome shotgun sequence.
AAUGAUACAGUUCAUUUAGGUACAAUAGAUAAUUGUCAAUUCUUGAAUUCACAGUUCGAAUCUGGGUAUCAUUU